CUGCACUUUGCUUCACCUUCUUCAAAUAAACACAACAGAAACAAAACACAUAAUAAACAAUUACAAUUACAAUUUCACCCAUUUCCAGUAAAAAUGCUUUGGAUUAUGAGAUUCUCAACAUUUUUUACCGCAACAAUGUUAAUAAUCGUCUUUUUUUCACCCACCGAAGCGAUAAAAUCAUCUCAGCCUCACUUCUCGUAUCGUAAAUCCUCUAUUUUCCGCAAUGCACCUGAUUGCACCACCUCAACAAAAACCGCGAAAUCCGAUUCAUUUAUUCAUAUAUCAAUCACACUCGAUAUCGAGUAUCUUCGUGGAUCAAUCGCAGCCGUACAUUCAAUUCUACGCAAUUCUAGAUGUCCAGAAAACAUAUUUUUCCACUUUUUGGUCUCAAAUACAAAUCUCAAACCCCUAAUUCAUUGCAUUUUCCCUAAAUUGAAGUUCAAUGUGUAUUAUUUCAAUCCAAAAAAAGUGCAAAACAUGAUUUCAAGUUCUAUAAGGGAUGCACUUGAACAACCGCUCAAUUACGUUAGAAAUUACUUAGCUGAUCUUCUAGAAGAUUCUAUUCAUAGAGUUAUAUACUUAGAUUCAGAUUUGAUUGUUAUUGAUGAUAUUUUUAAGCUCUGGAAAACGGAUUUGGGGAAUAAGACAAUCGGAGCUCCGGAAUAUUGUCAUGCGGAUUUUACGGCGUAUUUCACGGCCAGAUUCUGGUCGGAUCCCAGGUUUUCCGGCGUAUUCGACGGACGGAAUCCUUGUUACUUCAACACAGGGGUUAUGAUUAUAGAUCUGAAGAAAUGGAGGCGGGUCGGGUACACGAAACGGAUAGAGAAAUGGAUGGAUAUCCAGAAAAGGAUCCGGAUUUAUGAACUUGGUUCAUUACCGCCUUUUUUACUGAUUUUCGCGGGACACGUGGCGCCAAUAGAGCACAGAUGGAACCAACAUGGUUUAGGUGGUGAUAAUGUGAAGGGAAGUUGCCGUGACUUACAUGCGGGUCCAGUUAGUCUACUUCACUGGAGCGGGUCAGGCAAACCGUGGACCCGGCUCGAUUCGAAGAACCCGUGUCCUAUUGAUUUUCAAUGGGCUCAAUAUGAUUUGUAUACACAUUUAAGGUGAAAUUCGUACAGAAACAGAGCCAAAACCCACUGGAAAAGGAGAUGAGAAAGGAGUUGAAGUGUCAGAAGAACGAAUUCUGUGCAUGGAUCGAAUUCGUGAAGAGCUUUCUUGUGCUGUAAGAGUCUCAGCUCAUUCUUGGAUCUUAGUGACCUUUUCCAUCUAUCAGUAAAGUGAUUUUUCAUCAUCUAUUAGCGUUGUUCAAUUGUAUUUGCAUAUUUGUUUGGAGAUUUGUUUUGAACCCAGUACCACUUCUUGUGGACACAGUUUCUGUGGGGAGUGUCUGGGAUCUGCUGCUGAUAUAUGUGGGACGCGAUGCCCCAAGUGCAGGCAGCUUACCAGCGACGGAAGAUCUUGCUCUGUAAACACAGGCCUUUGGAAUACAAUUCAACUACUAUUUCCUAAAGAAGUAGCAGCAAGAAAAGCAGCUUUAAAUGAUGGAGAAGCUGAGCAUCAAAGUUCACUAAGAAUUGCUAGUCAUACUAAUAUUUCAAGAAGCAGAACAGCAUCUAGCGCUCGAAGUCAAAGAAGGAAUUUUCACUCUUCGAGAAUACGAGGUUAUUUCAGGACAGGGAGAUAGUUACCAAAUCAGGAUGAUGCUGCUGCAUUGGCAUGGCAACUGCAGAGAGAGGAUUUCAUGUAGAACUUUAGGACAGACAGAAUUUGAGGGUCGUGGCUCUUAAGGUUUCUAAAUUUUCUUAUACUUCAAACGAGACUAACCUCAGAGUGCAUCGUUGACCAGUCCAGGAGAAUCAAGGAAGCAGUGGAUUUCUUGUGAAUCUUUUCCCCUUAAUUUUGACUCAGUUCUGUUUGCUUUGCAGCUUUACAUGGCGAUCUCUACCUUCUAUGUUUUAUUUAGGAAUUGAUGAACGAAUAUUACUUGUAAAAGAUAUUAUCAAAACUAAAGCCUCUCCUUGCUCAGUUUGAUCAA